rnacentral:rRNA from 1 species
UACGUAGGUGACCAGCGUUGUCCGGAUUUACUGGGCGUAAAGAGCGCGCAGGCGGUCGUUCAAGUCGAGUGUGAAGGCCCCCGGCUCAACUGGGGAGGGUCAUUCGAUACUGAUCGACUCGAAGGCAGGAGAGGGAAGCGGAAUUCCCGGAUGUAGUGGUGAAAUGCGUAGAUAUCGGGAGGAACACCAGUGGCGAAGGCGGCUUCCUGGCCUGUUCUUGACGCUGAGGCGCGAAAGCUAGGGGAGCAAACGGGG